GCGUUGGAAACGACGUCUAAUACCGGAUACGCGACGCGAAGGCAUCUUCAGCGUCGGGAAAGAACUUCGGUCCAGGAUGAGCUCGCGGCCUAUCAGCUAGUUGGUGAGGUAACGGCCCACCAAGGCGACGACGGGUAGCCGGCCUGAGAGGGUGACCGGCCACACUGGGACUGAGACACGGCCCAGACUCCUACGGGAGGCAGCAGUGGGGAAUAUUGCACAAUGGGCGCAAGCCUGAUGCAGCAACGCCGCGUGAGGGACGACGGCCUUCCGGGUUGUAAACCUCUUUUAGUAGGGAAGAAGCGAAAGUGACGGUACCUGCAGAAAAAGCACCGGCUAACUACGUGCCAGCAGCCGCGGUAAUACGUAGGGUGCAAGCGUUAUCCGGAAUUAUUGGGCGUAAAGAGCUCGUAGGCGGUUUGUCGCGUCUGCUGUGAAAACUGGAGGCUCAACCUCCAGCCUGCAGUGGGUACGGGCAAACUAGAGUGCGGUAGGGGAGAUUGGAAUUCCUGGUGUAGCGGUGGAAUGCGCAGAUAUCAGGAGGAACACCGAUGGCGAAGGCAGAUCUCUGGGCCGUAACUGACGCUGAGGAGCGAAAGCAUGGGGAGCGAACAGGAUUAGAUACCUGGUAGUCCAUGCCGUAAACGUUGGGCGCUAGAUGUGGGGACCAUUCCACGGUUUCCGUGUCGCAGCUAACGCAUUAAGCGCCCCGCCUGGGGAGUACGGCCGCAAGGCUAAAACUCAAAGGAAUUGACGGGGGCCCGCACAAGCGGCGGAGCAUGCGGAUUAAUUCGAUGCAACGCGAAGAACCUUACCAAGGCUUGACAUAUACCUGAAAAGGCUGGAAACAGUCUCCCCGCAAGGCAGGUAUACAGGUGGUGCAUGGUUGUCGUCAGCUCGUGUCGUGAGAUGUUGGGUUAAGUCCCGCAACGAGCGCAACCCUCGUUCUAUGUUGCCAGCACGUAAUGGUGGGAACUCAUAGGAGACUGCCGGGGUCAACUCGGAGGAAGGUGGGGAUGACGUCAAAUCAUCAUGCCCCUUAUGUCUUGGGCUUCACGCAUGCUACAAUGGCCGGUACAAAGGGCUGCAAUACCGUAAGGUGGAGCGAAUCCCAAAAAGCCGGUCUCAGUUCGGAUUGAGGUCUGCAACUCGACCUCAUGAAGUCGGAGUCGCUAGUAAUCGCAGAUCAGCAACGCUGCGGUG
rnacentral:rRNA from 1 species